CAGUAGCCGCGGUAAUACGGAGGGUGCAAGCGUUAAUCGGAAUUACUGGGCGUAAAGCGCACGCAGGCGGUUUGUUAAGUCAGAUGUGAAAUCCCCGGGCUCAACCUGGGAACUGCAUUUGAAACUGGCAAGCUAGAGUCUCGUAGAGGGGGGUAGAAUUCCAGGUGUAGCGGUGAAAUGCGUAGAGAUCUGGAGGAAUACCGGUGGCGAAGGCGGCCCCCUGGACGAAGACUGACGCUCAGGUGCGAAAGCGUGGGGAGCAAACAGGAUUAGAUACCCCUGUAGUCCCUGUCUCUUAUAC
rnacentral:rRNA from 1 species